CUUGAGCGGGGUCAUGAAAAAUAUGUAGUGGAUACUAUCCAAAGUCAUCCUGCCCAGCUAAGAAAAUCAACCUCACAACAAAGACAAGUGCACAAUUGAAUGGAUGAUGAAUUGGAGGGUGGAGCAAGCUUCAUGGUUUACUUUUUGUGUAUCUUGUUGUGUUUCUGUUUUUUACUUUUGAAGCAAAAGAUGUGCAAGACUAUAGAAUUUUAUUAUGUAUGCUUUCAAACUCAAGUUAGAACUAAGAACUUUUGAAGUGGACAGUGUCAUGGUUUGAAGUA